rnacentral:RNase_P_RNA from 1 species
AAGGGAAGCCGGAUGGCCGCAGUGUAAGGUAAUUCUUACAUUGAGGAAAGUCCGAACUCCACAGGGUGGAAUGCUGGAUAACGUCCAGGCGGAGUAAUCCGACGGAAAGUGCCACAGAAAACAUACCGCUUACGGUGUUAUCGCCGGAAGUAAGGGUGAAAAGGCGAGGUAAGAGCUCACCGCGCAUCGGGUAACCGGUGCGGCAGGGUAAACCCCAUUCGGAGCAAGACUAAAUAGGAGACCAUAGGGUGACCCAUCCUGUCUCGGGUUAGUCGCAUGAAGCAGAGAGUAAUCUCUGUUCAAGAUGAAUGGCCAUCUUAUACAGAAUUCGGCUUACAGGCUUCCCUUUGCU